AUAAAUGCCUGAUCCAGGCAAACUCCCACAGACAGAGCACAAAGCCUUACCCAGGACCCCACUUCUCCCAGCAGCUGGAUAAACAUAUUCGACGACAGACCUUGGCAAGAACUGCAAAGAUGCUCUUGACAAUGGCAUGAAUAAAUAUUAGGUGUUAUCUAGAAUUCACCACAUUUGAGGUCGUGCGCAAAGCCAGAUCAAAGAGAAUGCAGAACAAUAGAAGCAAGAAGGAUCCCAAAUAUAGUGUUGCAACUCUCCUCACCUGCAGGAAGGGGUUGCCCAAGAAGCAUGACACCAGCAUCUGCUUCUGGUGAGAGCUUCAAGCUGUUCCCACUCAUGGUGGAAGAGGAAGAGGAACCAGUUGUGCAGAAAUAACAGCUAUACAUUUCCGAAGACAGAGAAGAGGAAAAAGGAGGGCCAUGGAAAAAGGCAAGAAGGUCCCGUGACCAAGAAAUGACCAGCUCCACAGAGGAAAUGCAGGGCCACUCUCCGACUGGACCCCACUGUGCACAAGGUGAGAAUUCAGCCUGUUUAUCAGGGUUUCCCUUAUUAAAGUAUAUGUCAAA
rnacentral:lncRNA from 10 species